rnacentral:lncRNA from 1 species
GGGAAGAGAUGGAAGAGGCAGGAUGCUGUGGUCCCGGUGCCAGCAGCAGAGGCGUGCUCCUGGAGGACACCAGCUCACAGCCACCUGCAGGAGGAGCAUCUUGAUACAGACAGCACGGAGCAGAGCUUGCUUCCAAAAUCCCUCCCCGCAGAGCCCCGGUCUGCUGGCAGGAGCUCCAGGAGAGCACCAAGCUCACAGCAGGCAGGUCCCAGUGGGACAGGGACAUGUCCUUGCUGCAUCUCCAACCUCCCCAUGCCUGCACCAAGUGGAGGACAAGUGGCAAAGCUCACACCUCGCCUUGCACCUUGGCACCUCCACCUUUGUGCGCAGGGGCAGGACAGGCAGAACGGGGGGCGAGCUCGUUGUGCACCCUCCAUACCCAUCGGUAACACAGGCCUGGAGGCUCCAGCUUCAGAUCCAUGCAGAAAAAGGGCAAAUGUGGGCAACGUGUCUGUGGGGUUCACCUUUUGUGCAUGGCAAGCUGCCCCGGCACGGCUCGGGGGGAGGCUGUUCUGGAGGCAUCUCCAGAGGCAUCCAUCCCCUGCAGCCAGCAGCUGCGGUGGCAGAAGCUCAUCACCAGCCACCCGACCGUGUGCUCGUGUCCCCUCCUGCCCCCCAGGCUCAGGUAUGGCCCCGUUGGCUCCCAUUCACCCCCCCGAGCUUUGUCAGGGCCACCCCAGCCAAGCCCCCCGAGGAGGACAGAGGACGGACGGUGAUGCUCCCGGGCACGUGGCGGCUCUGUGGGGACCACGGCACCCAAACCCCGGUGAGGACGCUGCGGUUCUUGGUCUCCCCCCAGUGACCAGACCACAAAUAACAAAGCAGCAGGUCUUACCCGUGCGCUGGAGUUUUCCAGCCCGAGGAGCAGAGCUCCCAGAACAGGCGUAUUGUUACCAGGUAAUUAUACUAAUAAUUAUUUCCCCGAAUCCUCCCAGAGAGAGAAGCCCUCUCGCCGGCACGCCGGCUUGCUUUUGCAUUUUAGGAAACAAGAAGCGAUUUCCCCACAUGCACGAGCCCUCUAAAUGUAUAUUUUCGUUGGUCAGGGAGCACCGACACCACGGAGGCAAAUGGCCUGUCAACAGAUUUACGGCAGGAAUUAGGAGCCGAGCAAUCCAUCUUGCCUGCCCUAAUGCACGCCAAACAACUCUGCACCGCGUGGGCUCCGCCGGGGCAGACGGUGCGAGCACAGCUCUCCAUGGCCCGAACCCAGCUGCGAUGACGCCGGCCCGAGCUGGAUGCCCACCAUCCUGGAGGAUUAGGAUUCGGGAUCUGAGGAUGGGCUUGAAGCCGUCUGCAGCUGUAACCGGGACUGGGUUUGGCCAGGGGCUCACGGUGGCACGCAACCGGCGGCUCAGAGGAGCUCACCCGUGGGGACCCCACGCAUGCGUGAGGAGCGCACAUGCACGGAGGAGCCGCGCCGCCCCGUUUAACCCGGGCUUCUUCUUUCUCCUCAUUGAAUUGCAAAAGCAGUGCGGUGCUGGAGCGGCGUGUUCUCAUCCAUUAUAGAAAGAACACGCUGCUCCGGGGCCACACAAGCACAUGGGAGAGGCAGCCCCUUGCUCCCUCUCGCCCCAGAGGAGAGGAAGGCGGGAUGCUCAGAAAGCACCGUGCCACCUCUCUUGUCACCUCCUGCUGGGGGCAAGUGGCUGAGACAGGCUGAAGGUGCCUGGAGGCCCCCUACUUGCAUCAGGCAGGUGCCCAGAAGGAGAAAUGGGGCCCCUGCGCCCCUUCCCCACCCUGGCCUCAAUUGGGACCGGUGAGGGACGCAAGCGUGGUCCCAUCAAGAGCUUUUUCAAGGGGUUUCUGCUCUGGGCAGCAUUAAGGGUACUCUUUAAGGGUUCCUUAAGGGCCGUUGCCAAAAUUCCCCAUCCCCUGAUGAAGCACAGGACAUUACAGCUUUCCAAAGAGGUUCAGGAAGGCUGCUUGGGUACAGGCAAAGCAAAUGUCAUCCCUCCAGCCUUUCUUGGAAAUAGCUGACCCAAUGUGGCUGAAAUUUUCCAGAGUUCAGGCUGAGGCAAACCUCUGGCAGAUGAUUUCUGCCUAAACGGUUGUGCCUUGGGCACUGUUCUAAGCAAUGGGAAACACAGCCUUAUAAUGGGAGGUAUUGGGUAACCUCAGCAACAAGCAGCAUUAUCUGCCCUGCCUACAAUAAAAUAAUUAAUUCUCAUUAAGUUGCCCUUUGAAGAGUGCUUCCAGACUGAAAGAAAAAAAAAAAAAAAAAAAAAAAGACAAGAAGAAAGCAAUGGAAUUAGCCAGCCCCCUCCGGACUUGGAUCACUCCAGAUCUGCACAGCAGCAUCUGGCAGAGUGCGGGGAGGUGUGAAGUGCUGAGCCUGGGAGAGCUCCAGGCUCACCGACAAGCAGAGAGGGGUUUUGGCCACGGCUGCCUCCGAGCGGGAUCACCCAUGGCAGAGUGAUUUCAGGGGAAGCUCCCGGAGGAGAAGCAAGGGGUGGCACAAGGAGGGCACUGACCCUAGCGAAAAACACCGUCCUGAGAGGGGGCAGCAAACCAUGAUGAGGUGAGGCAGUCAAGAGCAGACCCAGGAAGAGCUUCAGUCCCAAAUCACACUCGGCCAUUUAUGAGUUUUGGAGUGGUUUGAUUGAUUUUUCUUUUUCUGUCUUUCCCCCUGUGCGGCUUUGAAUUCAGGCAAGAGACAGGCAGAAACAAUGCUGGGGGAAAAGAAAACCUCUUCUUGCAGCACCCGAGGCCCCCUUUUCAUCUGUGUGAUGUAGGCAAGCGAUGCUCCUGCACCAGAAUCCUCUGUAGCACUGGUGAACAGUGCUACAAAUUUUAAUGGGGACAGAGGCACCGAGCCCCACCGCCACCAGCACCGGGCACAGGGCUGCCAGAAGGGCAGUUGCCACAUCCCAGCUCUUUAUCGCUUCUGCUCCCCUUUUCUUUCUCCUUCUCAACUCUUUCGGAGCCCUGACCUGCUGUCUUCUGGGAAGUGCUGGCUGGGUUGUGAGAAAGGAUCUCCCUGCUUUGGCAAAUUUAGCUUGGUUUGGUGUCAGGCGGCUGUGUCCGCAAGCUGCGGUGACUUGGUAGCCGGUGCAAGCCUGGUGGCACUCGCCACUUGCUCGGAAAGGAGCCCACCAGCCAAAAAGGUGCUUUUGUGCAGUGGAACUGUUUGCACAGAGCUGGAGUCGAGCAAUGAAAUAUUCAUAGGACACUAAAGCAGUGGGCUCACUGGCUGCCUUCUUAUGGGAAUUCAAUAAUACUGGAGACAGCCUUAAUUCAAUAUUCAGAAAGCCUCUUUCUCUCUCCAUCUCCCGGCUGUCUCUGGGUUCAAAGAUCUUUUCGGAAACCUCCUUUCUGCACGCUGGAUCCAUUAGCAGAGAGUGGCAGAGAGGAGGAAUGGGGGGAGAAGGAGGGGAAAGGCAAGGAUGGGGACUGCAUGCGGGACCUCUGGGUCUCCGAGCUGCCUCGUGGUGCUUUGCUGGAUGGCCAGGGCCAGCCCUUCCUAAAAGCAUGUCUGCGUUGGCUUUGGGGCCGGACCCAAACCUGUGCUCAGGGCUGAGCCAGGAAAGUCCUCCAGGGGCUGUUAACACAUCAGUGGGGUGCUCGGGGUGCUCUGAGCCGUGAAUUUUUGGGGUCUGGGAACAUGUCCUUGGUAGGCAGGGCUAACCACAUGCCCUGUCCUGCUGCCCACGGGGACAGAGGUGGAUCUGUGAGCUGAAAUGAGAAGACAAGCCGGGACCAACCACCUGCAGGGCAGCACAGAGCAGCAACAGGCUUGUCACCUCUAGCUCAGGACUGUGAUGCCCUGUGCGUUGCAGCGAAGGGGAGGUAUAGAAGAGCAGCAGCUUUCCAAGCACUUAGGGCUGGGUUUUUAAGUUUUUUGUUUUGUUUUGUUUUUGCUGUUUUUUUGUUUUUGUUUUUGUUUUCCUCUCAUAGGGUCCUUCCCAGAGAGCAUUUAAAAUUAAAUGAUUUACUCCACGAUGCACUGGUUAUUUGGUUUCUUCUGGCAUCUCCCUGUCACGAACGCCCUCAAGAAGAUCAAUUUCGACCUUCAGAAAACCUCGCUAUUAGCAUUUGAUCUUGUCAACCUCUUUUUAUAGUGGCUCUCAAAGCUCAGCAGCAGCAGCUCGAUGGCUAUCUGCCACGCACGCAGAUGCCAGCUGGCGGGGACAGCGCCUUGUCCCCCUGCUGGAGACUGGCACAGCACCACCCAUACAAAGGGUGCACAGAAACUGGGGGAGAAAUGGGAGGGUAGGGGGCUGAGCAUGGCUCCAAGCUGCUGCCCACCCCCAAGACAUGGUGGGAGCACUCUGGGGAAACAAGAGUUGUACAUGCUGCUUCACUUUCCACUGGAAAGAAUAUAUAAAAGGAAUAAAAUAAAACCUUUUUUGUCCCUUACUCUGGCAUCUCAGAGGUUGGACUCGAUGAUCUUGAGGUCUCUUCCAACCUAGAAAUUCUGUGAUUCUGUGAUCUCCAGGCCUGACCUUGAUCAAGCAAAUGCAUUGAAGAUGCUCCUUCCCCCUGUUGAUAUUUUAUAGAUUCUUGUUCUGGCUGUGUUUGGGUUCUACUCUAUUUUUUUAAGACUUUCUGGCAAAUCGUCAGUCCCACAGAUGACGGCUUGGAGCAGAACUCCCUGUCUGCUUGGAGCAGGUGCAGCUCUCCGUGUGGGGUCCCAGGGAGCUCUCCCCACCCCUGCUGGGUGCUCUGGGUGCUCCCAGUCCCAUGGCACUGUGAUGCCCCCUUCCCACCCCAGCAUCCCUCUCCGCUCCACAGCUAGGAGCCAGGCCAAUAGCUGGGCCAUGUCCCCACAGGACAUGGGGUCCGCCUGCU